rnacentral:lncRNA from 1 species
GUUGCUACUUCUUGCUUCGGGUUGGUUUUUUACCCUGGCGAGCUCUCUUCAAAUGAAAAUAAGAUGGGACUUAACAAUUCCAGCUUUAAGAAAGCUGCAACCAGCAAUUAAAGAAAGUUAAACUACCUCUUCUUUCUCAGGAUCAUAGCAACAUAGGUUUUACCUCCCGUAUUACCAGCGUUACUUAAUUAUUGCCAGUUAUUUCAAACAGCUGGAAACAACUUGGAAAGCUGCUUAACUAGAGAGAACCACUGACUGCCUACAGACACAGAAACCAAAUUGUCUGGGCUUGAAUUCAGUGCCACGACUUGGGAAAGUCAUUGAAUUAUGCGUGUGUCUUGAUUUCCCCAUUGUACAAUGGCCCAUUCCAGAGCCAUCAUUCUUGAAUACUUUUCUUGGCAUUCCUAGAACAACUGCACUAUUGCACAUGUUCCUCUUAGUUUCUCCCAUCAUGUUUGCUGGAGUACAGCCACAAAUAAAUUUCUUAGAAAGAAUGACUCAGA